rnacentral:rRNA from 1 species
AACCUCCGCAAUGUGAGAAAUCGCGACGGGGGGAUCCCAAGUGCCAUUCUUAACGGGAUGGCUUUUCAUUAGUGUAAAGAGCUUUUGGAAUAAGGGCUGGGCAAGACCGGUGCCAGCCGCCGCGGUAACACCGGCAGCUCUAGUGGUAGCAGUUUUUAUUGGGCCUAAAGCGUCCGUAGCCGGUUUAAUAAGUCUCUGGUGAAAUCCUGUAGCUUAACUGUGGGAAUUGCUGGAGAUACUAUUAGACUUGAGACCGGGAGAGGUUAGAGGUACUCCCAGGGUAGAGGUGAAAUUCUGUAAUCCUGGGAGGACCGCCUGUUGCGAAGGCGUCUAACUGGAACGGUUCUGACGGUGAGGGACGAAAGUUAGGGGCGCGAACCGGAUUAGAUACCCGGGUAGUCCUAACUGUAAACGAUGCGGACUUGGUGUUGGGGUGGCUUUGAGCUGUCCCAGUGCCGAAGGGAAGCUGUUAAGUCCGCCGCCUGGGAAGUACGGUCGCAAGACUGAAACUUAAAGGAAUU